CAUCUAGCAUUUCACUUUGUUAUCACUAAACUCGUAUGUGUCAUCCUUUUCCCUGUCCCCGCCCAUACAAACGUCAAACAGCGCAGCUGACUUCAGUCCGGCAGUUUAAUUAUGGAACAAUCUUGAUAUUGACAACUAUUGUCUCUAUUUCCUGGUACUAUGAGACAAUUUUGGUGAUUAAACGCCUAAUUUUGAGCGAAAAUGAACGUGAAAAUACCGUGCAUUUGAGCCUCGUCACCUAUCCAGCAUCGAGGAGCGGCACCUCUGCUUGGACUGUUCGAAAGUUUCAGUGUCCGUGCUCUAAUCGGUUCUUUUUCAAAGUUUCCCAAAAGACUAGAAUGGGUGUUUUCGAUGGUACGAGUCAGUGAGGCUUGGUGCCAUGGACAGCCUUCACGUAACCCCAUCCCAACAGGCCGUCGGAAGCAAAACUCCCAGCCGAAACACGUCCCCUUCUAGGCACAGAAGCGCUGAGGGAAUCUCUCAGGAGCGGCCCUUUCAUCCGCAACACGUGAAAACGCUCAGCCAUGGUUCAGUUGACAGCGCCAAGGUAUCCAACUAGCGCACAAAGCGGUUAAUAACAUCAGAAUAUAUCAGUGUUGGGCAAAAAUUGAUUUUUAUUAAAAAAAUUAAAAAUCA